rnacentral:rRNA from 1 species
AUUGAACGCUGGCGGCAUGCCUUACACAUGCAAGUCGAACGGCAGCACGGGAGCAAUCCUGGUGGCGAGUGGCGAACGGGUGAGUAAUAUAUCGGAACGUGCCCAGGCGUGGGGGAUAACGUAGCGAAAGCUACGCUAAUACCGCAUACGAUCUAUGGAUGAAAGCGGGGGAUAGCAAGACCUCGCGCGAUAGGAGCGGCCGAUAUCAGAUUAGGUAGUUGGUGGGGUAAAGGCUCACCAAGCCGACGAUCUGUAGCUGGUCUGAGAGGACGACCAGCCACACUGGGACUGAGACACGGCCCAGACUCCUACGGGAGGCAGCAGUGGGGAAUUUUGGACAAUGGGCGCAAGCCUGAUCCAGCAAUGCCGCGUGCAGGAUGAAGGCCUUCGGGUUGUAAACCGCUUUUGUACGGAGCGAAAAGGCUCUCUCUAAUACAGGGGGCUCAUGACGGUACCGUAAGAAUAAGCACCGGCUAACUACGUGCCAGCCGCCGCAGUAA